rnacentral:rRNA from 1 species
GACGAACGCUGGCGGCGUGCUUAACACAUGCAAGUCGAACGGAAAGGCCUGCUUUCCCUUGUGGAUUGCGGGUACUCGAGUGGCGAACGGGUGAGUAACACGUGAGUGAUCUGCCCCCAACUUGGGUAUAAGCCUGGGAAACUGGGUCUAAUUCCCGAUAGGACUGCAGGGUGGUGCCUGUGGUGGAAAACGAUUUUCUAGUGGUUGGGGAUGAGCUCGCGGCCUAUCAGCUUGUUGGUGGGGUAAUGGCCUACCAAGGCGGCGACGGGUAGCCGGCCUGAGAGGGUGGACGGCCACAUUGGGACUGAGAUACGGCCCAGACUCCUACGGGAGGCAGCAGUGGGGAAUAUUGCACAAUGGGCGGAAGCCUGAUGCAGCGACGCCGCGUGGGGGAUGACGGCCUUCGGGUUGUAAACUCCUUUCGACCGCGAGGAAGCCACCUGGUUGGAAGGGUGGUGACGGUAGUGGUAGAAGAAGCACCGGCUAACUACGCG